GAUGAACGCUGGCGGCGUGCCUAAUACAUGCAAGUCGAGCGAACAGACGAGGAGCUUGCUCCUUCGACGUUAGCGGCGGACGGGUGAGUAACACGUAGGUAACCUACCUAUAAGACUGGGAUAACUUCGGGAAACCGGAGCUAAUACCGGAUAAUAUUUCGAACCGCAUGGUUCGAUAGUGAAAGAUGGCUUUGCUAUCACUUAUAGAUGGACCUGCGCCGUAUUAGCUAGUUGGUAAGGUAACGGCUUACCAAGGCAACGAUACGUAGCCGACCUGAGAGGGUGAUCUGCCACACUGGAACUGAGACACGGUCCAGACUCCUACGGGAGGCAGCAGUAGGGAAUCUUCCGCAAUGGGCGAAAGCCUGACGGAGCAACGCCGCGUGAGUGAUGAAGGUCUUCGGAUCGUAAAACUCUGUUAUUAGGGAAGAACAAACGUGUAAGUAACUGUGCACGUCUUGACGGUACCUAAUCAGAAAGCCACGGCUAACUACGUG
rnacentral:rRNA from 1 species